GAUGAACGCUGGCGGCGUGCCUAAUACAUGCAAGUCGAGCGAACAGACGAGGAGUUUGCUCCUUUGACGUUAGCGGCGGACGGGUGAGUAACACGUGGGUAACCUACCUAUAAGACUGGGAUAACUUCGGGAAACCGGAGCUAAUACCGGAUAAUAUUUCGAACCGCAUGGUUCGAUAGUGAAAGAUGGCUCUGCUAUCACUUAUAGAUGGACCGUCGCCUUAUUAGCUAGUUGGUAAGGUAACGGCUUACCAAGGCAACGAUACGUAGCCGACCUGGGAGGGUGAUCGGCCACACUGGAACGGAGCACGGGCCCAGACUCCUCGGGGAGGCAGAGGUAGGGAAUCUUCGGAAAUGGGCGAAAGCCUGACGGAGCAACGCCGCGUGAGUGAUGAAGGUCUUCGGAUCGUAAAACUCUGUUAUUGGGGAAGAACAAACGUGUAAGUAACUGUGCACGUCUUGACGGUACCUAAUCAGAAAGCCACGGCUAACUACGUG
rnacentral:rRNA from 1 species